rnacentral:rRNA from 1 species
GUGCCAGCCGCCGCGGUAAUACCGGCAGCCCGAGUGAUGGCCGAUCUUAUUGGGCCUAAAGCGUCCGUAGCUGGCUGCGCAAGUCCGUCGGGAAAUCCACUCGCUCAACGAGUGGGCGUCCGACGGAAACUGCACAGCUUGGGACCGGAAGGCUCGAAGGGUACGUUCGGGGUAGGAGUGAAAUCCCAUAAUCCCGCACGGACCACCGAUGGCGAAAGCACUUCGAGAAAACGGAUCCGACAGUGAGGGACGGAAGCCAGGGUCUCCAACCGGAUUAGAUACCCCAGUAGUCCAGAUUAGAUACCCGGGUAGUCC